CAAUGAUAUGCCUGCUAGGAGCUCCAUAAGUAAGUGUUAAUCUCAGAGCAAGCUGUCAAAACAUUGCAGCACUAUUGGGUUACAAAGCUAGCCUCGAGUGUAACAUUAAGGCAAUGUGAGCAUGUCUGCUGGAUAUGGCCCAUUUAACGUUAAAGAAGGAAGUUUCGCCUGUAGCAGCUGUUUUUUCAUGUCAGAGCAAGGCUGAGAAUAAUGUGCCUCGGCAAGAAUGAGAGCGAAUGGAUGCAACAGGUUUCUUUCUCUCAAGGAAGAUACAAGUUUCACUGGAUGUCAGUUUUGCUUUAUAAAAUCAGUAGCAACAGCAGCUGAAUCUAGUGCUAAAAUCAGAAGCUGGGGCUAACAGUGGAAGAUCACCACAUUCUGCGGACUUGAACUACCAACCUUCUGCAGGUGCAGCUGGCAAAGGAAACAUUUCCAGGCUGUGUAAUUUUAAUUCCAAAUUGCUACUGUGAAUCUGAAACCUUCAAUUAAAGUAUUAAAUACACUCCCUCUUCAGGCAGUUUCCACCUUCCCUACAAUCCAAACAAAUUGGCCCCGAGGCUUAUCAUAGCAAAGACAUUUCCCACCAACACCCCCAUUCUUUCCAAGAUCCAGUCAAUCAAACAGCCAGGGAUACUUUGGCUCAGAUGCUUGGAGUUAAUGCACGCCUUAAGGCAGGUGAAGAGCACUGGAGCAUUCAAGAGUGAAAAGUCAGAGUAAAGGUGAUAA
rnacentral:lncRNA from 1 species